rnacentral:rRNA from 1 species
UAAGGAAUUUUCCGCAAUGGGCGAAAGCCUGACGGAGCGACACCGCGUGAAGGAUGAAGCUUUUCGGAGUGUAAACUUCUUUUCUGGUGGAACAAGUACUGAGGGUACACCAGGAAUAAGCAUCGGCUAACUACGUGCCAGCAGCCGCGGUAAUACGUAGGAUGCGAGCGUUAUCCGGAAUCAUUGGGCGUAAAGCGUCUGUAGGCGGUUUGUUAAGUUGGGUAUUAAAUUUUAGGGCUCAACCCUAAAGCAGUAUCCAAAACUGGCAGACUAGAGGGUUAAAGGGGCAAGUGGAAUUCCCGGUGUAGGGGUAAAAUCCGUAGAUAUCGGGAGGAACACCAAAAGCGAAGGCAUCUUGCUGGAUUAACCCUGACGCUGAGAGACGAAAGCGUGGGUAGCAAACAGG